ACAUGCCCGUCACACUUACGGGCUUACUUGUGGCAGGCGCUGGCUAACAACCGCCACAGUUGGGCUCUUCCAAAUAUGCCCCCUGCCUAGAAAUUGUAGUGGCGAGCGCCGGGAAAGUGCCCGCCACUGGUAUGUGGGUAAGUAGUGGAUGGCUCCUAUAGGCGCCCGCCAUAGCUGCAUUUUCGCAAGUGCGCGAACUAAAUUAAAGUUUGGAUAAUUUUGAUGUGGCGGGUGCUCGUUGUUGCCCGCCACUGCUCACGACACACAGUUCCCCUUCCGUGCCCCCUAAGCAACCACCCAAAGACACAUUCAUUUCCACUAUUUCGUCUUUCUCUCUUCCAUUUCCUCUCCCUCGUCCCCUUCCUCGCCGUCCUGCGCCUUGACCACCGCCGCUGUCCCUCCGACCAGCCGGCGGCGCCUUCCACACGUCCGGCGCCGUGAGACGCGCCAUCCUCCGCCUCGACUGCCGCCGCGCGUUCCCCGCCUCGACCGAGUGCUGCACCUGCCCUCCGCCUCGACCGUCGCCGUCGUCCUCCGCUUCGACCACCGCUAAAUCUGACAAGUGGCAAUGAGUGAUGACGAUGACGAUGAUCGGUAUCAUGAUGAUAGCCAAGAUCACCAGCAUGACGGAGACAUCCAAGAUGACGAGGGCAUCCAUGAAGAUGAGGACAUAUAGGAUGAUGAUGACAGCUAGAAUGACGAGGAUGAGCAAGAUGAUGAUGACGACGAAGAUGUUGACAAUGAUCCAUUCAGUUCAGCAAUUUUCUCUAAAAGCUUGAGGAAGCCUACUCGGGAUGAGACCCUGAUUGUUUCCGUGAUGUUACCAUCGAGUGUCCUGUGUUCGGAAGCCCUUUGUGCACCGUUUACCAAAAACCAACGUAAAAAAAUGGAGUUCAAAAGUAACCAAUGAAGAUGUUUUGAGUGGAAAUCCCCGCCUUCGGCAUCGCUGGAGUACGCCAUGGACCAACAGGUCGUGUCACUAGUGUUUAGUACAAGCCAGAAUCGGAUGGACACAUAUCCUUCUAUGAGUCCGGCUGGCGAGAGUUCUUGAUGGGAAAGAGAGAACUAAGGAUGUACACCAUUGUUAUAGUCACCAUAAGGAAGAGCAACCGCAAUGACUUUCAGAUGAUGGUUGUCGUCGACCAUGUUUAGAAAUACAGUCUAAGUCAUGAAUAUAUCUGCACCUGAACUGUUAGUGAACUAGUUUGUUAAGAUGGAUGUGAUACAUGGAUGUUUAAUUAUUUCUU